UACGAAGGGGGCUAGCGUUGCUCGGAAUGACUGGGCGUAAAGGGCGCGUAGGCGGAUUGUACAGUCAGGCGUGAAAAUUCCCGGGCUCAACCUGGGGGCUGCGCUUGAGACGUGCGAUCUUGAGUGGGGAAGAGGGUCGUGGAAUUCCCAGUGUAGAGGUGAAAUUCGUAGAUAUUGGGAAGAACACCGGUGGCGAAGGCGGCGACCUGGUCCUUGACUGACGCUGAGGCGCGAACGUGGGAGGCAACAAGAUGAU
rnacentral:rRNA from 1 species